UACGUAGGGCGCAAGCGUUGUCCGGAAUUAUUGGGCGUAAAGAGCUCGUAGGCGGUUUGUCGCGUCUGCUGUGAAAACCUAAGGCUCAACCUUGGGCUUGCAGUGGGUACGGGCAGACUAGAGUGCGGUAGGGGUGACUGGAAUUCCUGGUGAUAGCGGUGGAAUGCGCAGAUAUCAGGAGGAACACCGAUGGCGAAGGCAGGUCACUGGGCCGGCA
rnacentral:rRNA from 1 species